rfam:Triticum aestivum genome assembly, contig: Triticum_aestivum_CS42_TGACv1_scaffold_470941_6AL
AUAUUACUCCCUCCGUCCGCAAAUACAUGUCGGAGGAAUGAAUGUAUCUAGAUGCAUUUUAGUUUUAGAUGCAUCCAUUUAUACCCAUUUCCGCGACAAGUAUUUCCGGACGGAAGGAGUAGAUG